CGGAGUUAGUCGCCAUCUUUGAGUGGGGCAGACGUGGGCCGCUUUUGCUCGCGGUCACUUCAUCUUAAGUUGUAUAUAUGUGCAGAGCGCGGCGCGGGUGGUCACCUCCGCUGCUGCCGCCACCCGCCCGGCCUGCCUUUGACCCUAUGGGUCACAGACAAGGCAGGGUGAUCGCGGCAAGACCCUGAGUGAGACUAGAUGCGUUACCCAGAGGGUGCGAGGUCGAGUACCUUCCCUGUCCCAUCGCAAACCCAAAGAUCCCCGUUCCUGGAGAUUCUGAUUGAGGUAAACUAACAAAACAUGUAUUGUGCCAGAGAGUGGUAAGCACUGUGGAGGGUUACAGUGGUGUAGGGGAAGACCUGUCGGGGUGGACACUUGGGGAACGCGACGUGGGGGCGGAAUCGGGCCGCUAUUGGCGUGGGCCUCAAGUUCCAGCGGACACGCACUGCAGCCUCUGCGCUUCCCCCACUAUCUGGAAAAGGGGAUGGAGGCGGGGGUCAGCUUCCCAUCCAAUCACAGCUCAGCGUGCCUCGGAGGGCGGGAGGAAACGGAACUCUGCCGGUCAGCGACUUCCGGCCGUCACCACGGAAACUGCCAGCCCCGUGAGCGCAUGGUGUGGCACUUGCCUGCGGAGGGGCCCAGGCGCCACUCCUCUGAUUCUGCAGAUGCUCCCCCAGGAGUGGCUUCUGGCCAAGGCCAAGCCCCUUCUUUGAAACUGCCUUUCAGCCUGUGUUACCUGCACCCAAGUCACCCACUGGAGGGUUGGGGGAGAGGGGCUGUGUGAAGGACCUGGACAAUGGGAUGGAAGGGGAAGAUGGCUAGGGCAAAACAGGCAAUGGCACUGGGUCCUGGAGACGCUGCCCUGAAGCCUGCAGUAUGCUGAACUUAUGCUCUCAGCAUCUGUCCACUUUCACCUAAGCUGCGUUUCCACUGGUUUGCUGCUGAAUCUACUCCUGACUGAAACCUUCCAAUGUGCAUGGGGCCAGGGUGGGAGAAGCCUUCAGCUCUAGCGAUGGGAAUGAUCACCACAGGGCAGGGAAACUGGCCCAGGGCCUGCAGCCUUUGCUUCUCAGACUGGCUGGGGUUCCAUCUGCAGGGUCCUACACCCUCAUCACCUGCUGCUUGUGAACACGAGAACAGGAAAGUCUUGAAAAAUCUGAAUUUCCAGGUGAAAUCUUCUAGUUUUAAAACUAGGAAAUGGUUUCCUAGGUGUAAAGGAGUUUUACAAAGACA
rnacentral:lncRNA from 1 species